AGUGAACGCUGGCGGCGUGCCUAAUACAUGCAAGUCGAACGGAAUUUAAAAGAGCUUGCUCUUUUAAAUUUAGUGGCGCACGGGUGAGUAAUAUAUAGCUAAUCUGCCCCUUGCUGGAGGACAACAGUUAGAAAUGACUGCUAAUACUCCAUACUCCUUUUUACCAUAAGAUAAAUCGGGAAAGAAUUUCGGCAAGGGAUGAGACUAUAUCGUAUCAGCUAGUCGGUGGGGUAACGGCCUACCGAGGCUAUGACGCGUAACUGGUCUGAGAGGAUGAUCAGUCACAUUGGAACUGAGACACGGUCCAAACUCCUACGGGAGGCAGCAGUAGGGAAUAUUGCGCAAUGGGGGAAACCCUGACGCAGCAACGCCGCGUGGAGGAUGACACUUUUCGGAGCGUAAACUCCUUUUGUUAGGGAAGAAUAAUGAC
rnacentral:rRNA from 1 species